AGGGUUCGAUUAUGGCUCAGGAUGAACGCUGGCGGCGUGCUUAACACAUGCAAGUCGAACGAAGAUGCCGGAGUGCUUGCACUUUGGCAGACUGAGUGGCGGACGGGUGAGUAACGCGUGGGUAACCUGCCUUAUACAGGGGGAUAACAGUUGGAAACGACUGCUAAUACCGCAUAAGCGCACGGUAUCGCAUGAUACAGUGUGAAAAACUCCGGUGGUAUAAGAUGGACCCGCGUCUGAUUAGCUUGUUGGUGAGGUAACGGCCCACCAAGGCGACGAUCAGUAGCCGGCCUGAGAGGGUGAACGGCCACAUUGGGACUGAGACACGGCCCAA
rnacentral:rRNA from 1 species